UGUGUGUGUAGUUAAAAGUUCCUUUAACCACAAGGCAAUUUAAAGCUCCUCAUUUUAGAAAUUGUAUCAAUGGACUUUUAAAACGGUGACUUCUCUGUCGAUUAACAAUUCCCAUUGCUACACUCCUGUGCAAAUUCAGGUGAAUUUAUUUAAAAUAAGAUUUUUAAAGGAUUGUGAAAGGUUUGGAGUUACAUGUAUAGUUUUCCUCUGUAUCCUAACAAUAAUAAUAUGGUUCCUAGUUUCAAUUUACUUAAAAGCUAGACAGAGUUGCCAGGCUAGUAAGAUAAAUUUCCUUUUAAAAAUUCACCUGGUUGAUUUGUGUUUCAUUUACUCUAAGGAUGUCCAAAGCUUUCUAGAAAUCCACCCUCCCUACCUGCUGCCAAACGGAAGGAAAGUUAUUUGCAAGGUCUAUCUCAGAGUUAUUGUGGCUUCAAUUCCAGAUCACACAUAAAAAUGUCAGUUUCUUGCUGUUUCUACCACCUCACCUCUGCACCCACCUACAAAAAGGGACUAGACACUGAGGAACAACAAGUACAAGGCCAGAGAUACAAAGGUGGUCAGUAAGGAAACUCAACUUAAACAAAGAUGGCAUUGAGCAUGUAAAUGAAGAUAUGUGCUUAAUAGUAAAAGUAAAAUUAUCCUUUCCAUAAAGAACAUGAAAUUACAAAUCUAUGGAGAGAAGAAGUU